rnacentral:tRNA from 1 species
GCCAGGGUGGCUCAGUGGAUAGAGCGUCGGCCUGCAGACCGAAGGGUCCCGGGUUCGAGUCCCGAUCAAGGGCA